AUGAGACAAGCUGUUUCUGAUUAUUGGUGGGGUAGAGAAGAUGGUAAGAGGAAACUUAACUGGCUUUCAUGGGAAUGGUUAUCCACACCAAAAAAGCUUGGUGGACUGGGUUUCCAUGAUUUUUCGCUCUUUAACCAAGCUAUGCUUGGUAGACAAUGUUGGAGGCUUUUUACUGAGCCAGAUUCUCUUUGUGCUCGGGUUCUCAAAGAACACUAUUUUCCCCACUGUGAUUUUUGGGAUGCGCCUAAGCCGAGGUCAUGAUCCUAUACUUGGAGAAGUAUUCUCUAUGGCCGAGAGCUUGUUAAGGUUGGUGUUUGGUGGGAAGUUGCUAAUGGCCAAAAGGUUAAAAUCAUGAUAGAUCACUGGAUUCCUAGACGACCACCGUACAUGUUGUGA
rnacentral:rRNA from 1 species